rnacentral:rRNA from 1 species
AGUGAACGCUGGCGGUAGGCCUAACACAUGCAAGUCGAACGGCAGCACAGGAGAGCUUGCUCUCUGGGUGGCGAGUGGCGGACGGGUGAGGAAUACAUCGGAAUCUACUCUGUCGUGGGGGAUAACGUAGGGAAACUUACGCUAAUACCGCAUACGACCUACGGGUGAAAGCAGGGGAUCUUCGGACCUUGCGCGAUUGAAUGAGCCGAUGUCGGAUUAGUUAGUUGGCGGGGUAAAGGCCCACCAAGGCGACGAUCCGUAGCUGGUCUGAGAGGAUGAUCAGCCACACUGAAACUGAGACACGGUCCAGACUCAUACGGGAGGCAGCAGUGGGGAAUAUUGGACAAUGGGCGCAAGCCUGAUCCAGCCAUACCGCGUGGGUGAAGAAGGCCUUCGGGUUGUAAAGCCCUUUUGUUGGGAAAGAAAUCCAGCUGGCUAAUACCCGGUUGGGAUGACGGUACCCAAAGAAUAAGCACCGGCUAACUUCGUGCCAGCCGCCGCGGUAA